GUUCAACUCGAAUCAAAUUAGGAUUUGAUCAAUCUAACCAAUUAAGGAAUUGAUAAAUUUAAAUCUAGAUUUGUACUUAUGUCAAUAUAUUAUUAAAAAGAGGAUUAUAUUCCUCUAUAUAUUAUACGGGAAUCUUUAGAAAAUCCUAGCAGUCAUCUUUCUUCUCUUCUCUCUUCCAUCUUCUAGCAAAAAGACGUCCUUUGCAAGGGAGCUAGAAUCUCGGUGAGGACAUCGAUCAAAUCAUCAACCUCGUGUAGAUAUCUAUAGAGGCCGAACGUGUGUGCGGCUUCAAGAGAAGCCAAUUCCACGACCAUCAAAUUGAGGUGAAGAUCUAUCCGCGUAAAAGGUAAAGAUUCGAUCUUAUUUUUCUCCUUUAAUCUUAAAGAACAUGAGGGAUCCUAAUUGCGUAGUUUUUUUAGAUUGGAUCUCGAGAGUUUUCAAAAUCAAAUUUAUUUGAUUUCUUUUUCCGCUGCGUUUUUACCGUACGCAAUUUUCUUACAAUCCGUUCACAAAACUGACGGACGGAUCUUCCAGAAAUUCAAAAUGUUCGCAAAGGGGUCGAAAGUGGCAAUACGCAAAAGUCGCAAAACUCCCUAUAUUUUAUGCACCGUUUUGCGUGAUUUCGAACGUCGAGGUACGUAGGUGCGAAACACGCGUUGUGAGGGACCGGGUUAAAAAUAUUCAGCUUUGGAGGACCUUUAUGCAAAACUACACUUAUAAAAAUAAUAAAAAAUAAAAAUAAAAAUCUAUUUUCUUCUACAGAAAAGAUAAAAAAUUAUAUAAAAAGAAAGAAGAUGAUAAAAUUGAACUGUUAGAAUAAAAUUACACUGUUAUGAAAAAUGUUUUUGCACUAUUUUAAGUGAAAGUUGCACUCUUUGAUACAGAAAUUAUACUUUUUAGGAUGAAAGUUAUACUCUUUAGACCAAAAUUACACUAUUUAGAAUGAGAGUUACACUCUUUAGGCCAAAAUUGUACUAUUUCUUUUUCUUUUCUUCUUCUUUUUCCUUCCUCUCAUCCUAAUCGGCAUCCUUUCCUCUUUCCUUCCCCUCCCUUCCUCUUCGCCCUCCCUUUCGCACGCGUGCUCUCCGUCCACCUCGACCGCGCCACCGACGUAGUCCGCGCCUGGUGGCGGCAGCGGCAGACGCUCCCGUUCUCGUUCCCGUUCCCGUCGCCGUUCGCGAUCAUGGCCUCCGUCUCAGUUACCUUAUGCUGUUCCUCUGCGGUCAGCCUCCUGCGCUUCCGGGGCCCAGCGGAGGCGCCCAGGUGGUCUCACAGGGCCCUGUCCAGCAACGACUCAUCGUAGUUUAUCGGCAGCGCGUUGCGAUGCCUCGGCAACUGCCUGGGUGGUGCUGGAGUCCAUCGGUGGGGAUGCGGAGGGGGCCGAGCAAGAGAGAGCGGGGAGGACGAGGGAAGGCAGGUGAAGAAGAAGAGGGUGAGCGCAUUCGAGCCCGAAGCUCGAUGGAGAUAAACAUGGAGCUAGAGAAGAAGAGGAGGCGGGGGCGGUUGUGGUCACCGCAAGUGAGCAUAAGCUGCCAUUGCUCUCACUGCUCUUCGUCUCCUUGACAAAUAAAUAAAUAAAUAAAUAAGUAAAUUAAUUUGAAAAUAGUGUGUCGCUUAUUUUGAAAUAAAGGAUCCUUUAUUUAUUUUAAUUGGAGGAGUGCCUGUGGGAAUCCUUGUGGUUCUCGCACAUGGCGUCGACACGCUAAAAGAAAGCCUCGGACUCCCGGCAAAAGUUUCGAGCACAUUCGCUUGGGGAGCGUCGAAUUAAUUAGCAACGGGAACAAGAACGGGAGCGUUCACCGCUACUGCCACCGGCCGCGGACUGCAUCGGCAGCGCAGAGAGGAAGGGAGGGAGAGGAAAGGGGAAACGAUGAUGAUGAGGAUGAGAGGAAAGAGGAGAAAGAAGAAGAAAAGAAAAAGAAAUAGUGCAAUUUUGAUCUAAAAAGUGUAAUUCUUCUUCUAAAUAGUGCAAUUUUGGCUUAAAGAUUGUAACUCUCAUUCUAAACAAUGUAUUUUCUAUAUCAAAGAGUGUAAUUUUUAUUGAAAAUCGUACAAAAAUUUUUUAUAACAGUUUAAUUUUAUUUUAGCAGUGCAAUUUCAUCAUAUUCUUCUUUUUUAUAUAAUUUUUGAUUUUUUCUGUAGAAAAAAAUAUGUUUAUUCUUAUUUUUUUAUUAUUCUUAUUUUUUCUCUUUCUAGUU
rnacentral:lncRNA from 1 species